GCCGGGGUGGUGGAAUGGUAGACACCAGGGACUUAAAAUCCCUUGUCCGUAAGGGCGUACCGGUUCGAGUCCGGCCCCCGGCA
rnacentral:tRNA from 1 species